UACGUAGGGUGCGAGCGUUGUCCGGAAUUACUGGGCGUAAAGAGCUCGUAGGUGGUUUGUCGCGUUGUUCGUGAAAUCUCACGGCUUAACUGUGAGCGUGCGGGCGAUACGGGCAGACUUGAGUACUGCAGGGGAGACUGGAAUUCCUGGUGUAGCGGUGGAAUGCGCAGAUAUCAGGAGGAACACCGGUGGCGAAGGCGGGUCUCUGGGCAGUAACUGACGCUGAGGAGCGAAAGCGUGGGGAGCGAACAGGAUUAGAUACCCUGGUAGUCCACGCCGUAAACGGUGGGUACUAGGUGUGGGUUUCCUUCCUUGGGAUCCGUGCCGUAGCUAACGCAUUAAGUACCCCGCCUGGGGAGUACGGCCGCAAGGCUAAAACUCAAAGGAAU
rnacentral:rRNA from 1 species